rnacentral:rRNA from 1 species
UCGGGAAUAUUGGACAAUGGGCGAAAGCCUGAUGCAGCAACGCCGCGUGCGGGAAGACAGCCCUAGGGUUGUAAACCGCUUUCAGCAGGGAAGAAACUGACGGUACCUGCAGAAGAAGAUGCGGCCAACUACGUGCCAGCAGCCGCGGUGACACGUAGGCAUCAAGCGUUAUCCGGAUUUAUUGGGCGUAAAGAGCUCGUAGGCGGUUCGGUAAGUCGGGUGUGAAAACUCUGGGCUCAACCCAGAGAGGCCACUCGAUACUGCUGUGACUAGAGUGCGGUAGGGGAGCGGGGAAUUCCUGGUGUAGCGGUGAAAUGCGCAGAUAUCAGGAGGAACACCGGUGGCGAAGGCGGGUCUCUGGGCCGGAACUGACGCUGAGGAGCGAAAGCGUGGGGAGCGAACAGGAUUAGAUACCCUGGUAGUCCACGCCGUAAACGAUGAGUGCUAGAUGUUGGGAUUUUCGGAUUUCAGUGUCGCAGCUAACGCAUUAAGCACUCCGCCUGGGAGUACGGCCGCAAGGUUAAAACUCAAAUGAAUUGAC